GUAAUUUAUAAAACAGUGCCAAUGUUUUCAUGAAGGGGAGUAAGACUUGUGGUAUAAGAUAUCUUAAAUACAAUUUUUGUUCCAGUAGUCGCCCAGUCCCAAGUUUCAGUCCAGAUAGCAGAUGAGUAGCAACUCCAUGGAAGAUGUUUACUUAGAUCUUCAACCAAGCUCGAGGCUUUGCCAUGUAAUUUAUAAAACAGUGCCAAUGUUUUCAUGAAGGGGAGUAAGACUUGUGGUAUAAGAUAUCUUAAAUACAAAUUUUUUUCCAGUAGCCUGCCAGUCCCAAGUUUCAGUCCAGAUAGCAGAUGAGUAGCAACUCCAUGGAAGAUGUUUACUUAGAUCUUCAACCAAGUCCGAGGCUUUGACAUGUAAGCAAUCAAGCAGCAAGGAUAGCAGCUGGAAUGAAGAUUAAUUAUUACAUUGAUCUUCAAACAAGUCUGAGGCUUUGUCAUGAAAGAAAUA